UGGAGAGAUAGGAGUUUGGUGAGGGGAAGGCAUGCAACUUGCAGAGAGGAGGGAGGGAGGAGGGAGAGAGAGAAGGGUUUGGUGAGGGGAAUGUAUGUGACUUGCAGAGGAAGGGAGGAAGGGAGGGAGCGAAGCUUAAAAGCAACUGCAGAAAGUUCAAUGGACAAGGUCGCAGCAAUGGAGACACCUCGCUCUGAACCAUUUCCCCUUUCCUCAAGCGAAUGCUGAAAAAAGUUUUGAAGGAACAAAAAGAGGAAGAGCUACACAUAAUAGAAUCCGAUUCGCAAGGAAAAGAAGAAAGCCAGCUUUUCAACGAAAAAGCUAAAAUCAAUCUCUUCAACCUCCUCAUCGGUGGCCGCACCCACGACAAUCAGUGUUCUGAGUGAUCAUCGAGCUGUGAUGGGUUAGUGUUGGAUUUGAUUCAAUUGAGGAAAAUGUGGUGGAGACAAUAAUUCCCAAAUCCUCGAGUUUUAUGAAUGCAUUCCAAUUGAUAGCCAUGUCAAAUGAUCUCGAUUUGUCAGGAUGAGAAAUAGAAGACAACAAGAAUUGGACCCAAGCAUACCGUUACUGAAACCAUGAAGAAAAUAGAAGCGGCUACAACGGAUGCGAGUAUUCUGUAGCAAGAACAAACAACUUCAGGAUGUAAAUGCAUGCAAAAAUUCCAAUGAAAACGUAAAUCACCAUAUCCAGGUAAAUCCGAAUUGUAGAUCAGACUUAUAUUACAAUUUGCUUUCUUUGUGAAAUUUUAUUGUAAUUUACACUAAAGUCUCUGGCUUUUGAAAUUCUAUAUGAAAUUGUGAAUGUUAUUCGGAAUCAAGUCCGGCCAAGUUCUUUACUAAAUAGUGCGAAAAUAUGCAUGAUGAAACUAAAUUACUUUUGU